rfam:Myotis brandtii contig275957, whole genome shotgun sequence.
GGCGAUUCUUGGGUGAUGCACCCUGAAAUCGGGCUCCCUCCUCUCUGGUUCUAGGGUGGGUCACCACAGCUCGGCA